rnacentral:rRNA from 1 species
UACGUAGGGUGCGAGCGUUGUCCGGAAUUACUGGGCGUAAAGAGCUCGUAGGUGGUUUGUCGCGUUGUUCGUGAAAACUCACAACUCAAUUGUGGGCGUGCGGGCGAUACGGGCAGACUGGAGUUCGGCAGGGGAGACUGGAAUUCCUGGUGUAGCGGUGAAAUGCGCAGAUAUCAGGAGGAACACCGGUGGCGAAGGCGGGUCUCUGGGCCGAUACUGACGCUGAGACGCGAAAGCGUGGGGAGCAAACAGG